GACUUCGGUCUCUGGGUUAGUGGCGCACGGGUGCGUAACGCGUAUGCAACCUACCUUCCACAGGGGGAUAGCCUUCCGAAAGGGAGAUUAAUACCGCAUAACAUCAUUUGAGGGCAUCCGAAGAUGAUCAAAGCUUUGGCGGUGGAAGAUGGGCAUGCGUGCCAUUAGUUAGUUGGUAGGGUAACGGCCUACCAAGACUUCGAUGGCUAGGGGUUCUGAGAGGAUGGUCCCCCACACUGGUACUGAGACACGGACCAGACUCCUACGGGAGGCAGCAGUAGGGAAUAUUGGGCAAUGGCCGAGAGGCUGACCCAGCCAUGCCGCGUGCAGGAAGAAGGCCUUCUGGGUCGUAAACUGCUUUUAUCUGGGAAGAAAACGCCCUUGCGAGGGUAACUGACGGUACCAGAUGAAUAAGCACCGGCUAACUCCGUGCCAGCAGCCGCGGUAAUACGGAGGGUGCAAGCGUUGUCCGGAUUUAUUGGGUUUAAAGGGUGCGUAGGCGGCCCGUUAAGUCAGUGGUGAAAUCCCAGGGCUCAACCCUGGAACUGCCAUUGAUACUGACGGGCUUGAGUUCGGUUAAGGCGGGCGGAACUGGUGGUGUAGCGGUGAAAUGCAUAGAUACCA
rnacentral:rRNA from 1 species